rnacentral:rRNA from 1 species
CGUAUCACCCAAGACAACUUUACGGAGUUGACGAUUGACGGAGCGAAGCGACGUCAAAGCGUUCAUUAAAGUCGAGUUGGCUUAGGGAUACGUUCGUUGGGUAGGGGAGCGUUCUGUAAGCCUGUGAAGGUGUGUCGUGAGGCAUGCUGGAGGUAUCAGAAGUGCGAAUGCUGACAUAAGUAACGAUAAAGCGGGUGAAAAGCCCGCUCGCCGGAAGACCAAGGGUUCCUGUCCAACGUUAAUCGGGGCAGGGUGAGUCGACCCCUAAGGCGAGGCCGAAAGGCGUAGUCGAUGGGAAACGGGUUAAUAUUCCCGUACUUGGUGUUACUGCGAAGGGGGGACGGAGAAGGCUAUGUUGGCCGGGCGACGGUUGUCCCGGUUUAAGCGUGUAGGUGUGUGUUCCAGGUAAAUCCGGUUCACUUUAACACUGAGGCGUGACGACGAGGCACUACGGUGCUGAAGCAACAAAUGCCCUGCUUCCAGGAAAAGCCUCUAAGCAUCAGGUAACACGAAAUCGUACCCCAAACCGACACAGGUG